UGAAAGUGAAAGUGAAGUUAUUCAGUCGUGUCUGACUCUUAGCAACCCCAUGGACUGCAGCUACCAGGUUCCUCCGUCCAUGGGAUUUUCCAGGCAAGAGUACUGGAGUGGGGUGCCAUUGUCUUCUGCGAAAGUAUCACUGCUGUUUCUCAUUCUUACGAAGCAACAUGGUUGUUUUAAGAGGAAGAGAGAAACGAUUCUAGCUUUAGCUGUAUGAACGUUCCUGCUUGAAGGCCUGACUACCAUUGGCUGGGUCUGGGGCAAAAGUACAAAGCUUGGACGUGCAGGUCUGAAUGAAACGUCUUGGACCACUGCAAGUUCUGGGGUGGAGACCAAUGGCAGCGGCACUAGCUGACCUCUGGCUCACGACCAGGCAUUUCUUUCUCCAUCCUCAGCUUUUCUCCCACCCGAGAGGCCUCAUCUGCACAGGUGCGGAUACUCCAUCUUCACAUUUCAGAGGAGGAAAGUGAAGCAGGGAGAGGUUUUAAGGCACCAAAGUUUGCAUAGCUGGUAAAUAAUGGAGCCAUGAUGACAAGCCAAGUCUUUGUCCAGUCUUUUAAUUUUUACCGUGAUCUCAUGCUUUCUUCUAAGGAAAAGUGUGUUUCCUGACCCGAGGGAAGAGCUAAGUACAUCAUAUCAUAAUUAUCAUAAUUGAACAAUACAAGGGGAGUCAGGAAAGGUACAUCAGAAGUACUGGGUAAGUCUUGAUGGAGGAUGGAUAGACCAAGCUUUCAGACAGAGCAAACUAAAUGCAGUGGCUCAGAAGAAGGAGUGGGGAGUGUUGAAAGGCCACCGGGACUUGAGAGAAUGGUAGGGAGUAGCAGGACAUGGGGGCUGAACUGUGGGAACCCCAAACCAAACUAAGGAGUUGGGGUGUAAGCGAUGGAGGAGAGGGUAGAUGGACAAACUUAAACCCUGGGGGUAUCAGGUGACUUCCCGGCUAAUGUGAUAGUCUGCUAUUGAUAAUGAAAGGCAAAUUUAAAGAUCCAUAACUCAUACUUAGGGGACCCAUUUAACUCUAAACGUUGAGGGCAGUGAUUGCAGCCCAGAAGUCAACCUUCCGCUAGCAGAAAAACAGAGACUCCAGCCGACGUGGAGGUUGCAUCUCCUUUGAUCCAGAGGCUAUGAUGAAAGUGUGGCGUGUUUUCUUUUUUUUUGCUGCCUGAGUAUUAUAUCCUAAUACAUGCUUUCUUUUCUUUAUUGAAAUCCCCCAAUGCUGAUGGGAUCCUGAAGGUGAACUUCCAUGUUGAUUGCUGGUUGGAUUUUUACCCUUUCCCAUAUUGAAAUAGAUGAAAAUAAAUUUCAUGUAAUUCUUACAGUGGACUUCCUCCAAGUAGACAGGAGUGCGUUUCUUGGUGUAACAUAUUUCUCAAUUAUUUCUGAGGGUAUUUUAAGUGCAAGUUAGUGUCAUAAGUAUUGUGCAGGGAAAAAAGAUAUAAAAAGCUGUAAGUUAAGUAACCACUUCAUAUAAUUACACAAUUUUUAUCAUUCAAAUGGAUUCUGUAUAGUCUAUUUCAUCCUUAACUCAGACUUUUUCUUGUAAUAAUUCUGUAAAAUAAUUUCCCAGUCUUUCCAAGUAUGUAUUUUUUCCCCUAUGUCCCAUGUCUAAUGUAAAGCUAAGUUGUUUAUCUAACAAUUAUGAGUGGAUAUGAUGGAUUAGUAUAACAGUGUAAGGCUGGUCCAACUAGUCCCUAAGGGUAUGUAUCAUAACAUGAACAUUUUGGCAGAGUCUAUGCGGUGCUACUGUUUUUAAAGACCACGUUUUGACUUUUAGAAUACUGUACUCCAGAAAUCUUAGUAUAUCAUAGAAUGACUUAAAAAUUUUCUAUAUGUGAGAAUUCUCACUGAAAUCAAAAUAAUUAAAGAUCUAAAUUUAUGUGCUUCAAAUAUUAAACAUAUGUAAUGUCAAUAUGUAUGCCCAGUAUUCAUUUAUAUGCAUGACCAUGGUAGAAUGGGGUGGAAAUAUUGGUUUAGCAAUUUUGACUGAAUUGUUCUAGGCAGCUGGAUUGGCCUUCUUUAUGAAGUCCACUAUUCUUUAACUGAGUUAAUUUUGUUGACUAAUUAUCGUAGUGUCGUGAAUAAACUCUUGCAA